UUAUUCGGUAACAUGUCCAACAAGAAGGAGGCUGGGAUACUUUGUAAAUUCUUGUCUUAAUAUUCAUGUUUUUCAACCCACUGUGAUGCUUCUCACCCUGCCUCUCCAGAGGAGAACCAACUCUGAGCUCAUAAUGGCGACUGGGUAGAGACUGGGAGAGGGUCACAGUAACAGGCUGAAAACUUUGCUGAAGUACAUUGUGUCAUUUUUUUAAGCACAGCCUUCUAAAAAUCAACCCUCUCAUCUAUUCAGAAAGUUUGAUUGGGAGUCUCAGUGGCCAAAGACAAGAGAGAUGACUUUGGUGUUGGCUUGCCGUAGUUGACAGAAAGGUUAAGAAGAGGAUUCCUUCCCAGCCUAUGAGAGAUGCCUGCAGAAGAGCGAGCGGUGAAGCAUUCUCAGACAGGGGCUUGUUUGUGUUUAUUUGGCUUCCUCUGCAAAGUGCUCUAGCUGGAUAUAAUCAGCGCUGUCCCUCGGCCUUUGUAGCGGCUUCGAGUAAUGGUGUGCAGAUGUCAAAUGUGACGUGUCUGGGCACCAGCCCUUCGCUCAGACAUGGUGAACGGUUAGCGGUAACGCGGGCGCUACUGCUACACAUAUUGUAGGC